CAUGGAGAAAGUUUAAGGGUUGCUUGGGAGCAUUAGAUGGCACUUAUAUAGAGGUGACAGUCCCCGAGUCUGAUAAGUCAAGAUAUAGAACAAGGAAGGGUAAAAUAUGUACUAAUGUCCUAGGAGUGUGUAACCGAGAUAUGAGCUUUGUUUAUGUACUUAGUGGAUGGGAGGGAUCGGCAUCUGAUUCAAGAAUACUUCGAGAUGCAAUCACUCGUGGUAAUAGUCUCAAGAUACCUCAUGGUAAUUACUAUUUAGUGGAUGCGGGUUACACAAAUGGUCCUGGGUUCCUAGCACCAUAUAGAGGCACUCGCUAUCAUGUUAGAGAGUGGGCUCAAGGAACACGUGC